GUGCUGUAUAAAUACUGAACCGUCGUUCAGAUUAGUCCUUUUCUCUUUUUGGUUUGGUCGAGUUUGAGUCUCCGCGGUUCUGCUGCUUCUGCACGAGCCUUGCGGCUAGGCGUGCGAAGUUUCUGCAUAUCACAGGUUCCUGGAUGCCCCAUUGAGGCCUGUUGAUUUGGGGGAUAUUAUGCUUGUCCAUAAUGUGCAUUCAUGUAUACAUUUAGAAUUACUUGUGCGUUGUUGGGGAUUGAAAGGCUAAUAUGCUAGCUACACUGUAAUCCAAAUAAGUCAGUAAAUGCUGUAUAGUCUUAUACCUGAUUAUUCAGCUUGACCCUGGUACAUUCUAGUCUUCUGAAUGUAAGGCUGCACUGUAGGGCUUGGGGGGGUUCUAUAAAAGCAGGGGGCUGCUUCUGCAUGGUCCAUUGGCAGCUUUUGUCUCAAACUAGGGCUGCUGAAUUAAACUAGCACCUCCUAUACUUUUCCAGGGCCAGGGUUGCAGAACACUGCUCUAGAGAAUACAUUGUUUUUCGAUAAAGGCUUUCAGUAAGACUUCCCACAGCAUUGCUAAUGAGUAUUCGGUGGAAAUGGUUUGGACUAAGGUGAGUAUUUCAAGAGUGACCCAGCUACAUGAAGGAUCCAAGCUCAAAUGUGGGGCUAUAAACAUAUUUUGGUGUUAACACUUCAGUGAUGUAUGUGGGUGGCAGGCCAUUAUCUAAUUUAUGAAGGCUGUUCGAGUUCUUGGAAUUGGCAGAAAAAGUAAUCUAUUUAAAUGGACUAUUAUGAUUGCUAAUGUUCUUGCUACGUUGGCACCUACCCAGUGACUCAAAAGCAGGCCAUCCCUGUUCAUGAAUGUCUACAGUCCUAAUUGGUAGAAUUCGUUUAAUUCGGGUUGCCCUGUAAACCUACAAGGGGCUUGGUUGGGCAGACCUGAUCUAGAGGCCUGGUAACCUGCAUUCUGUGUUUCUGCUUAAUAUGCUUCUUUUAAUA